AAUGCUCUUGGCACAGCUGAAGGCUCCAACUGAGACAGCAGCACCUACAGCAGCAAUGAUGUUGAUCCCACUCUUCCUCAGCUCUCUCCUCUUCCUCAUUCAAGAUUCCAAGGGGCAGGUGACCAUUAGUCAAACUCCAGUAAUGACCACCAGUCCAGGAGGCACAGUCACAAUCACCUGCAGACGCAGUGGAAGCAUUUACCAAGACUGUGGUCCACCAGCAUGUAUCUCCUGGUACCAUCAGAAGCCUGGGGAGAAACCCAAACUCCUCAUCUACAGAGUGAAGACCCGGUCUGGUAUUCCUGCUAGAUUCAGUGGCAGUGGAUCUGGGAAUGACUACAGUUUGACCAUCAGUGGAGUCCUGAAUGAAGAUGCUGGAGAUUAUUACUGCAUGAGUGCUCAUAGGCGUUUUGGUAGCGGUACCUGGGAGUUCACAGUGAUACAGAGUCGUGCAAAAACCUCCCCAGUCAGCUACAGGUCCCUCGCACUGGGGUCACCGAUCCUGGGGGUCCUUCACAUGGAAUUACGGCUCACACACAAUGGCUACGCUUCAGAUGGCCUCAUGGUACCCAUCUGA